AUAACUGAGACCAUUAAAAUUCCUACUAUUUUCAAAAUAAAAUAAUACAAAAAUAUCUCUUAGGUUUCUUUCCCCCUUCUCUUUCUGUAUAGUAACCGGCAAGAGAAGAAGCAAUAAAUGAAACCAUUAAAAUUCUUAAAACUGUUUUCAAAAUCUAAAAACUCUAUACAGACUAAAGAAUCCUAGUAUUUUCCCGACCCAGUUGAUGAUGUAACCAAUUGAAAGACCAGCAAGUUGAAGAAGUAAUAAAUGAAACCAUUAAUAUUCUUAAACUAUUUUCAAAAUAAAAUAAUAUAAAAAACUCUCAGGUUUUUUUUACUCGUUUAUUUUUUGCUGGUUUUCCCUUCUUCCUUCUUUGUUAAUCCAAUCUCUUUUGCUUUCUUUCUUCUGUCUUCCUUCCCUUCUUUUCCUUUCAAAACAAACCUUAGCCACUUCCUCCGCAUCUACACAUUCCUCUGUCUUCAAUCCAUAGCACUCUAUUUAUUCGCCGACUCCGUCUCUCUCUGUCUCUUCUCAAUUUCUUCCUCAAUAUUUUUUAGUUUUAGGUCAGAAAAAGCCAAACACACACACAUCCUCACUUUACAGCAGGAAUAGGGUUUUUAUGAGAGGGAGAAACCCUUGAGACCUUUCUGUUGAGCAAGUGAUGUGGAGCUUGCAAUUUGCUGCUCAAGUUCAGGACGUACGACGUGGAGAUUUUUGGAGCAGUUCUCCUGGCGGUUCUCCUUCCCAACCCGCAAACCUCCCCGUUGCCUUCCAUUAGCGAUAAUUUUCAGCCAGGAUAUGUUGUUCUUGAGGGUUGCAAGAAUGGUCAUGAUGAGAAUCGAAUUCAUAGCAAUUGUUUCAUUUUCAUAUGUAUAUCUUAAUGGUUUAAUCCGUAAUUCACAAGUAAGUAGAGUUUCUUUUGGGUUGAAAUGGUUGCUCAACAAACAUGAAGUGAAGCAUAAGAUUGUCAGAACGUAAUGGUCAUGAUGAGAAUCGAAUUCAUAGCAAUUGUUUCUUUUUCAUAUGUAUAUCUUCAUGGUUUAAUCCGUAAUUCACAAGUAAGUAGAGUUUCUUUUGGGUUGAAAUGGUUGCUCAACAAACAUGAAGUGAAGCAUAAGAUUGUCACAACUUACCAUCCACAGACAAAUAGGCAAGUUGAAUUGGCAAAUAAGGAGAUAAAAGGUAUACUCAAGAAGGUAAUCCAUCCAAAUCGGUGAGAUUAAUCCGAAAGAUUGGAUAAUGCUUUGUGCGCCUAUCGGACAACAUCCAAAACACUUUUAGGAAUGUCUCCCUAUCGGUUAGUUUUUGGGAAAGUCUGUUAUUUGCCUUUGGAGUUAGAACAUAGAGUUUACUAGGCUCUCAAGCAACUUAAUUUGGAUCUCAAGCUUGUUGGAGAGAAAUGAAUGCUUCAACUCAAUGAAUUAGAAAAAUUUCAAAUGUUUUCGUAUGAAAAUGCCAAGUUGUGUAAAGAGAAAUUAAAAAUAUGACAUGACAAACACAUUCGAAUCUGUGGGUUUGAAGCAGGUUAACAAGUCUUGUUGUUCAAUUCCAUAUUAAAGUUCUUUUCCGGUAAGUUAAAAUCUCAUUGACCUGGUCCAUUCACCAUUUGCCAAAUCUUUCCAUACGGGGUCAUUGAACUACAUGAUGGUAAGGGAGGUAAGUUCAAAGUCAAUGGUCAAUGUCUUAAACAUUACUAGGGUGAUAAAGUUAAGCGGAAUAAAAUCUCACUCACUUUAUUAGAUCCCUAAUUUUCACUUUGAUUUAGAAUAACCGACAUUGACAAUAUUUUUUCUAGGAGGUUGGAUUUUAAGUGGGGACAUGUGGCCCUUCUAAUCUUUCUUGGGAAUUGCUUUUUAUUUAAUUUUUUGAGAAAAUUUUUUCUAUAAUAAAGUUUUGAUUUGCUGAAUAA